AUAGCUUUUCAGAGCUCUUGAUUUCGUUUCAUUGUAUGGUUCACCUAGAUUUCCUUUAUGUUUAAAUUACAUAUUUCAGAAUGAAUUUCUAACGGUUAUCAUUGCGUCUGUCGACUUAUGUUUUGUAUACGUCAAACUUAUACUAAACCCUUUUUGAAGAACGUGAUGAUCGAGUAACGGCAUUUGUGGAGCCCUUCGUGAUUUUGCUUAUUCUUAUUGUUGAUGCAGUCGUGACUCGUCGGAGUGUGGCAUCUAAACCCUUAUGGGCCCUUAUUUUGGAACAAUUCGACGAUUUAUUAGUCGAGAUUCUCUUGCUCACGGCUAUCAUUUCCUUUGUUCUCGCCCUUUUUGAAGAACAUGCUGAACGAGUAACGGCAUUUGUGGAGGCCUUCGUGAUUUUGCUUAUUCUUAUUGCUAAUGCAGUCGUCGGAGUGUGACAGGAAGGGAACGCCGAAAGCGCCAUUGAACCGCUGAAGGUGUAUGAGCCAGAAACUGCCAAUCAUCUGAUCAGAUAAGCACGGUAUCCAAAGAAUACGAACCAACCAAAUUGUACCGGGUGAUUUGUUUGAAAUCAGUGUUGGUGACAAGAUUCCCGCGGACAUUUGUCUCACGAAAAUUAUAUUGACGAUGGCAGAUCUCAAGAAUAUCAAAAGAAACGCGGAGCGUGCCCGCGACUCGUUUAAAUGUAUGGUACAUCAGACGCCUGACGGAGACGACUACAACAUAACGCCGUGCUGUGGAAACAUUAUGUGCACGGCAUGCUUUGCGAUGCUAGUGCAGAGUGAAUUAGAUAAAAACAAGGACAAGAAAGCGGGAGAGAAGUUAUUCCAACAUCUGUGCCCCAGCUGUCGCAGCCCGAACUGGAAGGCGCUACGCAAUCUCGGCUGGAUAAAAGGAGCAGCUGAUGACAGCGGCAAAACAGUGGACAGUAUCCAGGCCGCAAUCGCCGUUGGCGGUCGACCGCCAUGCCUGGAUGCUGAUGCCCAAACCGUUCUUCCGAUUACUGCACAGGCUCCUCAGUCGCACAUGCUAUUUUGUCGACACGUGUCUGAAUUGGUGUUCCCUCUUUUGGACGAGCGCGCUGUCCAAAACGGAUACAUAUUGCUGACGGGAGUUGAACUACGACUACUUUACCUGCUGGACCUUGCCGCCGCGGAUUACGCUUU